UACGGGGGGAGGCAAGCGUUGUUCGGAUUUACGUGGGCGUAAAGGGCGCGUAGGCGGUCGUGACAAGUCGACUUGUGAAAUCAUCCGGGCUUAACUCGGAACGGUCAAGUGAUACUGAUCGGACUAGAGUACAGAAGGGGCAACUGGAAUUCUCGGUGUAGCGGUAGAAAUGCGUAGAUAUCGAGAGGAACACCUGCGGCGAAGGCGGGUUGCUGGGCGUGAUGACUGACGCUGAGGCGCGAAAGACCAGGGGAGCGAACGGG
rnacentral:rRNA from 1 species